UAGAGUUUGAUCAUGGCUCAGGACGAACGCUGGCGGCGUGCUUAACACAUGCAAGUGGUGCGACGAACCAGGCUUCGGCCUGGGGCAAAGCCGCGAACGGGUGAGUAACACGUGAGUAAUCUGCCCCGAUGACCGGGACAACCCGAGGAAACUCGGGCUAAUACCGGAUGAUGAGCCUUGGCGUAAGCCUUGUCUCUAAAGGAAGCUUCGGCCUCCGCAUCGGGAGGAGCUCGCGGCCCAUUAGCUAGUUGGUGGGGUAACGGCCUACCAAGGCGACGAUGGGUAGCUGGUCUGAGAGGACGAUCAGCCACACUGGGACUGAGACACGGCCCAGACUCCUACGGGAGGCAGCAGUGGGGAAUCUUGCGCAAUGCGCGAAAGCGUGACGCAGCAACGCCGSSKKGGGGRAAGACGGCCUUCGGGUUGUAAACCCCUUUCAGGAGGGACGAAGGUUCACCGGUGAAUAGCCGUGUGGAUUGACGGUACCUCCACAAGAAGCACCGGCUAACUACGUGCCAGCCGCCGCGGUAAUAC
rnacentral:rRNA from 1 species